rfam:Picea glauca, whole genome shotgun sequence.
ACAUGGAUACAACAUAGUGUUAAUGCAUCAGAUCCCAUUAGAACUCCAUAGUUAAUCACACUCAGGCUAGAGUAAUACUGGGAUGGGUGACUUCCCAGGAAGUCUUAGUGUUUUACAUGCC